rnacentral:rRNA from 1 species
UACGUAGGUGGCAAGCGUUAUCCGGAAUUAUUGGGCGUAAAGCGCUCGCAGGCGGUUUCUUAAGUCUGAUGUGAAAGCCCACGGCUCAACCGUGGAGGGUCAUUGGAAACUGGGAGGCUUGAGUGCAGAAGAGGAGAGUGGAAUUCCACGUGUAGCGGUGAAAUGCGUAGAGAUGUGGAGGAACACCAGUGGCGAAGGCGACUCUCUGGUCUGUAACUGACGCUGAGGAGCGAAAGCGUGGGGAGCAAACAGG